rnacentral:rRNA from 1 species
GACGAACGCUGGCGGCGUGCUUAACACAUGCAAGUCGAACGGAAAGGCCCUGCUUGCAGGGUACUCGAGUGGCGAACGGGCGAGUAACACGUGGGUGAUCUGCCCUGCACUUCGGGAUAAGCCUGGGAAACUGGGUCUAAUACCGGAUAGGAGCCAUUUUUAGUGUGAUGGUUGGAAAGUUUUUUCGGUGUAGGAUGAGCUCGCGGCCUAUCAGCUUGUUGGUGGGGUAAUGGCCUACCAAGGCGGCGACGGGUAGCCGGCCUGAGAGGGUGGACGGCCACAUUGGGACUGAGAGACGGCCCAGGCUCCUACGGGAGGCAGCAGUGGGGAAUAUUGCACAAUGGGCGCAAGCCUGAUGAAGCGACGCCGCGUGGGGGAUGACGGCCUUCGGGUUGUAAACUCCUUUCGCUAGGGACGAAGCUUUUUGUGACGGUACCUAGAUAAGAAGCACCGGCUAACUACGUG